rnacentral:rRNA from 1 species
GACGAACGCUGGCGGCGUGCUUAACACAUGCAAGUCGAACGGAAAGGCCCUGCUUUUGUGGGGUGCUCGAGUGGCGAACGGGUGAGUAACACGUGAGUAACCUGCCCUUGACUUUGGGAUAACUUCAGGAAACUGGGGCUAAUACCGGAUAGGAGCUCCUGCUGCAUGGUGGGGGUUGGACAGUUUCGGCGGUUGGGGAUGGACUCGCGGCUUAUCAGCUUGUUGGUGGGGUAGUGGCUUACCAAGGCUUUGACGGGUAGCCGGCCUGAGAGGGUGACCGGCCACAUUGGGACUGAGAUACGGCCCAGACUCCUACGGGAGGCAGUAGUGGGGAAUAUUGCACAAUGGGCGGAAGCCUGAUGCAGCAACGCCGCGUGCGGGAUGACGGCCUUCGGGUUGUAAACCGCUUUCGCCUGUGACGAAGCGUGAGUGACGGUAAUGGGUAAAGAAGCACCGGCUAACUACGUG